GGGUUGUGAGGUUAAGCGACUAAGCGUACACGGUGGAUGCCCUGGCAGUCAGAGGCGAUGAAGGACGUGCUAAUCUGCGAUAAGCGCCGGUAAGGUGAUAUGAACCGUUAUAACCGGCGAUUUCCGAAUGGGGAAACCCAGUGUGAUUCGUCACACUAUCAUUAACUGAAUCCAUAGGUUAAUGAGGCGAACCGGGGGAACUGAAACAUCUAAGUACCCCGAGGAAAAGAAAUCAACCGAGAUUCCCCCAGUAGCGGCGAGCGAACGGGGAGGAGCCCAGAGCCUGAAUCAGCAUGUGUGUUAGUGGAAGCGUCUGGAAAGGUGCGCGAUACAGGGUGACAGCCCCGUACACAAAAGCGCAUGUGCUGUGAGCUCGAUGAGUAGGGCGGGACACGUGGUAUCCUGUCUGAAUAUGGGGGGACCAUCCUCCAAGGCUAAAUACUCCUGACUGACCGAUAGUGAACCAGUACCGUGAGGGAAAGGCGAAAAGAACCCCGGCGAGGGGAGUGAAAAAGAACCUGAAACCGUGUACGUACAAGCAGUGGGAGCACAGGUUUACCUGUGUGACUGCGUACCUUUUGUAUAAUGGGUCAGCGACUUAUAUUCUGUAGCAAGGUUAACCGAAUAGGGGAGCCGGAGGGAAACCGAGUCUUAAUUGGGCGUUAAGUUGCAGGGUAUAGACCCGAAACCCGGUGAUCUAGCCAUGGGCAGGUUGAAGGUUGGGUAACACUAACUGGAGGACCGAACCGACUAAUGUUGAAAAAUUAGCGGAUGACCUGUGGCUGGGGGUGAAAGGCCAAUCAAACCGGGAGAUAGCUGGUUCUCCCCGAAAGCUAUUUAGGUAGCGCCUCGUGAAUUCAUCUCCGGGGGUAGAGCACUGUUUCGGCUAGGGGGCCAUCCCGGCUUACCAACCCGAUGCAAACUGCGAAUACCGGAGAAUGUUAUCACGGGAGACACACGGCGGGUGCUAACGUCCGUCGUGAAGAGGGAAACAACCCAGACCGCCAGCUAAGGUCCCAAAGUCAUGGUUAAGUGGGAAACGAUGUGGGAAGGCCCAGACAGCCAGGAUGUUGGCUUAGAAGCAGCCAUCAUUUAAAGAAAGCGUAAUAGCUCACUGGUCGAGUCGGCCUGCGCGGAAGAUGUAACGGGGCUAAACCAUGCACCGAAGCUGCGGCAGCGAACGUAUCACUUAAAGCGAUUCAGCGGGUUACGAUUGACGGAGCGAAGCGACGUCAAAGCGUAUACAAAGUCGAGUCGGUUUAAGGAUACGUUCGUUGGGUAGGGGAGCGUUCUGUAAGCCCGUGAAGGUGGCCUGUGAGGGUUGCUGGAGGUAUCAGAAGUGCGAAUGCUGACAUAAGUAACGAUAAAGCGGGUGAAAAGCCCGCUCGCCGGAAGACCAAGGGUUCCUGUCCAACGUUAAUCGGGGCAGGGUGAGUCGACCCCUAAGGCGAGGCCGAAAGGCGUAGUCGAUGGGAAACGGGUUAAUAUUCCCGUACUUGGUGUUACUGCGAAGGGGGGACGGAGAAGGCUAUGUUGGCCGGGCGACGGUUGUCCCGGUUUAAGCGUGUAGGUGUGUGUUCCAGGUAAAUCCGGUUCACUUUAACACUGAGGCGUGACGACGAGGCACUACGGUGCUGAAGCAACAAAUGCCCUGCUUCCAGGAAAAGCCUCUAAGCAUCAGGUAACACGAAAUCGUACCCCAAACCGACACAGGUGGUCAGGUAGAGAAUACCAAGGCGCUUGAGAGAACUCGGGUGAAGGAACUAGGCAAAAUGGUGCCGUAACUUCGGGAGAAGGCACGCUGACACGUAGGUGAAGUGAUUUACUCAUGGAGCUGAAGUCAGUCGAAGAUACCAGCUGGCUGCAACUGUUUAUUAAAAACACAGCACUGUGCAAACACGAAAGUGGACGUAUACGGUGUGACGCCUGCCCGGUGCCGGAAGGUUAAUUGAUGGGGUCAGCGCAAGCGAAGCUCCUGAUCGAAGCCCCGGUAAACGGCGGCCGUAACUAUAACGGUCCUAAGGUAGCGAAAUUCCUUGUCGGGUAAGUUCCGACCUGCACGAAUGGCGUAAUGAUGGCCAGGCUGUCUCCACCCGAGACUCAGUGAAAUUGAACUCGCUGUGAAGAUGCAGUGUACCCGCGGCAAGACGGAAAGACCCCGUGAACCUUUACUAUAGCUUGACACUGAACAUUGAGCCUUGAUGUGUAGGAUAGGUGGGAGGCUUUGAAGUGUGGACGCCAGUCUGCAUGGAGCCGACCUUGAAAUACCACCCUUUAAUGUUUGAUGUUCUAACGUGGACCCGUAAUCCGGGUUGCGGACAGUGUCUGGUGGGUAGUUUGACUGGGGCGGUCUCCUCCUAAAGAGUAACGGAGGAGCACGAAGGUUGGCUAAUCCUGGUCGGACAUCAGGAGGUUAGUGCAAUGGCAUAAGCCAGCUUGACUGCGAGCGUGACGGCGCGAGCAGGUGCGAAAGCAGGUCAUAGUGAUCCGGUGGUUCUGAAUGGAAGGGCCAUCGCUCAACGGAUAAAAGGUACUCCGGGGAUAACAGGCUGAUACCGCCCAAGAGUUCAUAUCGACGGCGGUGUUUGGCACCUCGAUGUCGGCUCAUCACAUCCUGGGGCUGAAGUAGGUCCCAAGGGUAUGGCUGUUCGCCAUUUAAAGUGGUACGCGAGCUGGGUUUAGAACGUCGUGAGACAGUUCGGUCCCUAUCUGCCGUGGGCGCUGGAGAACUGAGGGGGGCUGCUCCUAGUACGAGAGGACCGGAGUGGACGCAUCACUGGUGUUCGGGUUGUCAUGCCAAUGGCACUGCCCGGUAGCUAAAUGCGGAAGAGAUAAGUGCUGAAAGCAUCUAAGCACGAAACUUGCCCCGAGAUGAGUUCUCCCUGAGACUUAGAGUCUCCUGAAGGAACGUUGAAGACGACGACGUUGAUAGGCCGGGUGUGUAAGCGCAGCGAUGCGUUGAGCUAACCGGUACUAAUGAACCGUGAGGCUUAACCUUACAACGCCGAAG
rnacentral:rRNA from 2 species